AAAUCAGCUUGGCGUUCAUUGUAAAGGGACAGUAAAAGUCGGGUGUUGGAUGUACACCACUUCCUUUCGUAAGCUGGCUUAUUCUACUUAUUUGAUGACGAAAUAGUUUUGUUUCCCAGGCUGCUCGUUUUUUCAGACGGCGUAAGGGAAAAAGGUAUCAUGAUCCAAGCAUCUGUGUUUCGAUUUUUCUCUAUCGAUAACUAUCGAAAAGGUGGCACGAAACAAAGAUGGGAAUAUUCUUUCGUUUUCUAAAAAUUGAUUUAUUAACUUAACGAGUAUUGCAGUAUUUUAGCUUUCUUUGUUAAUACUCGCUUUCGGAGGGAACAUUUAUUUUUUAUAUCUUAUAUAAAUACUCAUCUUAGCUUAUCAAGCUGCAUUCUUGCGAGUCCGAUUUUAUUGCCAUUAUGUAGUUUUUGAAUUUAAAAGUCUCGCAGUAAGGAUUUAGUAAGUACUUGCCGUAGGACGAGACCACCCAAAACUUAAUAAUAGAAAGUUAAUAUUGAAAUGGACCUACACUAAAAAUAAGCACAUAACUAUUACUGUGCUGCCAUCUACCGGCAAUGCGACUUUCAUUUACAGACGCUAGGUGUCGCCCGAACAGUUCGUCGACAGGGGCGCAGUAGUAUACAUGUAAAAUAACUCGAGUAUACACAGUAAAAAACUGUCCGAAACACAGAUAUUGAUUUUUAUAUUAAUAAAUUUUUAAAGCAAAUUAUAUAA